rnacentral:rRNA from 1 species
UAGCAUAUCAAUAAGCGGAGGAAAAGAAACCAACAGGGAUUGCCCUAGUAACGGCGAGUGAAGCGGCAACAGCUCAAAUUUGAAAUCUGGCCUCGGCCCGAGUUGUAAUUUGCAGAGGAAGCUUUAGGCGCGGCACCUUCUGAGUCCCCUGGAACGGGGCGCCAUAGAGGGUGAGAGCCCCGUAUAGUUGGAUGCCUAGCCUGUGUAAAGCUCCUUCGACGAGUCGAGUAGUUUGGGAAUGCUGCUCAAAAUGGGAGGUAAAUUUCUUCUAAAGCUAAAUACCGGCCAGAGACCGAUAGCGCACAAGUAGAGUGAUCGAAAGAUGAAAAGCACUUUGAAAAGAGGGUUAAAUAGCACGUGAAAUUGUUGAAAGGGAAGCGCUUGUGACCAGACUUGCGCCGGGCUGAUCAUCCGGUGUUCUCACCGGUGCACUCUGCCCGGCUCAGGCCAGCAUCGGUUCUCGCGGGGGGAUAAAGGCCCAGGGAACGUAGCUCCUCCGGGAGUGUUAUAGCCCUGGGUGCAAUGCCCUCGCGGGGACCGAGGUUCGCGCAUCUGCAAGGAUGCUGGCGUAAUGGUCACCAGCGACCCGUCUUGAAACACGGACCAAGGAGUCAAGGUUUUGCGCGAGUGUUUGGGUGUAAAACCCGCACGCGUAAUGAAAGUGAACGUAGGUGAGAGCUUCGGCGCAUCAUCGACCGAUCCUGAUGUUUUCGGAUGGAUUUGAGUAGGAGCGUUAAGCCUUGGACCCGAAAGAUGGUGAACUAUGCUUGGAUAGGGUGAAGCCAGAGGAAACUCUGGUGGAGGCUCGCAGCGGUUCUGACGUGCAAAUCGAUCGUCAAAUCUGAGCAUGGGGGCGAAAGACUAAUCGAACCAUCUAGUAGCUGGUUACCGCCAAU